CCUACGGGUGGCAGCAGUGAGGAAUAUUGGACAAUGGACGGAAGUCUGAACCAGCCAUGCCGCGUGCAGGAAGACGGCUCUAUGAGUUGUAAGCUGCUUUUGUACAAGGGUAAACCUGAAUACGUGUAUUCAGCUGACAGUACUGUACGAAUAAGGAUCGGCUAACUCCGUGCCAGCAGCCGCGGUAAUACGGAGGAUCCAAGCGUUAUCCGGAUUUAUUGGGUUUAAAGGGUGCGUAGGCGGAUUGGUAAGUUAGAGGUGAAAUGUCCGAGCUUAACUCGGGAACUGCCUCUAAUACUGCUGAGCUAGAGAGUAGAUGCGGUAGGCGGAAUGUAUGGUGUAGCGGUGAAAUGCUUAGAGAUCAUACAGAACACCGAUUGCGAAGGCAGCUUACCAAUCUAUAUCUGACGUUGAGGCACGAAAGCGUGGGGAGCAAACAGGAUUAGAUACCCCAGUAGUC
rnacentral:rRNA from 1 species